UGUGCAUGACAUCUAAUGCCCUGGUCAGACAGAGCAGGCCCCGGUGUAACAGACCGGAAGAUAGUGACCAUGUGCCCUGACAUAGGCUUAGUGGAAUUGUCAUCUGUGACAGGAAAUGGGGCAGGGAGCUUACAUGCUCUUUGGGCCUGUAACUAUUUGGGAAUUGGUGAAUAAUUCUCAUUACUCCUUGCUGAUUUCAACAAAUUCUUUUUUUUAAAAAAAAUGAACUCGGGUUCAAGCCAAAGAGGAUAGGGAAUAUGGUUCUGCCAAGAAAGCUCACCUGCUGGCUGCCAGAUAUCUAAGCUGUCUGAGCCUGGCAUCCUGGAGCCUUGAGAACUAUGGAGGCCACAUGCUUCCAGAUUCCAAAUGGAAGACAGUGAUCUAGGCUGACUCAACACGGCAGACUGGGUAGGAACUGUGGCCCUGGGCCUUUCUCAGGCUUUCCCAGUUAGGAAUUCUCCACACACAAUGGGAGUCAGCCCUGCAGCCAAGACCAGAUUAAGGGUGUUCUCUUUUCACCAGGGCCUAUUGUCUCAGAUGGCCUGGAGAUAGUGGCCAUUAAGCUCAGAGAGGGGUCUGGGAGGGACCUGGGCAGAGCACCCAGGGAAAGUACAGCCAGAGUUGUCAGGCCCACAAACUCUGCCCAGACAAGACCUCUGGCUGGAGUUAUCUGAACCGGCUAGACGAAACAUCCCGAAAUCUAAGGAGGCUGCUCUUCAGUGCCUGCUGGAGAUGUGGUGACCCAACAGGGCCUCCCAGAGGGUAAAGCCACAGGCUGAGGAGGACAGGGCACAGGGGAGUUACUUCCAGAAAAUGGAAGGACAAGAAGUCCUUACAGCUUCUAACCAGCUUGCUUCCGUUAAUUACCACGGAUUGGAGCUGUCUGCUCAACUCCCAUUGUUUUGUUUUCCGAGGAAGGGUUGGUUUCAAUUGUGGUGUGCGGUCCUUCCAUCAUUCCACCACACACUGUUCCCUCAUUGUAUGUUGGAGGAGGGAGGGGCGGAUCACUAGCGAUUAGUGUACUGGUCUCCAGACCACAGGUGGUGGCGUCCAGACAUGACUUCGGGGUUGGGUGCAGGAUAUUAUGGUCCUUGAAGUGGCUUCCCUUGGCAGGUAGCAUUUGUGUUUUGCAUGUGAGAUUAACAGAUAUUGGGUACUAAAGGAGUGGAUUGUGACAGAUUGCUAAUUGCCCCAAGGCCGAGGUUUCCCUGCCCUCUCAAAACAGCCUGACUUUUCAAAAAGCACAUGACUGUCUGAAAAAAUCUGCAUUUCCCAGGUACCUUUGCAGUCCUAUGCGGUUGCUACUAAAGUAUGGCCGAAAGACUAUGUAGAGAGCUUCUUUUCCAGCUGUAGCUCAGACCUUGCAAAGGAGGAAUUCCCUCUCUCUUCUCUUUGCCUCAUCCUAAUGGUGAGAGGGUAGACAUGUUGGAGAGCCAUGCUGGACCAUGCACAGGAAAGCAAACUCAAAGGAGGGCAGAGCCAAGAAUCAGAAGGAAGGCUCUUGAAUGCCAUCAAGGGUUCGAGGCUGAGCAAGCAUGCCAGUUAGGAUGUUACUGGGAGAAAGAAAGAAGUCUCACUGAAACCAUUUGGUGCAGUGGCCGGGUCUUUCCCAACACAUACAGGCGUACUUUGAUUGCUGUGCUGCAGUUACCGAUCUCAGGAACAGAAGUGCUGGGGGGGGGGGGGGUGCGAGGAAGGGUGCUGGCUCCUAUCAGAGCCAUUUGGAGAGUCUUCCAGGAGGUGAUAGCACUUGAACUGAGUCUCAAAGGAUGGGAGACUUUUGCAAGUGGGUGACUGAGAAGGGGAAGGGCACUCUUGACAGUGGGCAGCCUGAGCAGACACUCAGAGUGGUGGGAGCAGCUGAGAAGUGCUCCAGCUUGCAAUGUGGGGCUGUGAAGAAGAUGGGGCCAGGAUUUUGGAUGUCAUAUUGUGGGAACCACUGAGGGUUGAACUGGAAAGUAGCUUCUCUCUUCUCUCUCUCUCUCUCUCUCUCUCUCUCUCUCUCUCUCUCCUUCCCCCUCCCCCCCAAUUCCUCUCCCUCUCAAGUGUGUGUGUGUGUGUGUGUGUGUGUGUGAACACGCCUCCAUGAGGAGGCCAGAAGUGAGCAUCAGAUCUCCUGGAGCUUGUGUUACAGUUGGUUGUGAGCUGCCAGACAGCAGUGCUGAGACCUGAACACAUGGACGCCCUGGAAGAGCAGCGGAUACUUUUAACCAUUUAGCCGUGUCUCCACCUCCUGAACUACAGAUUCUGAAGACAAUCUCAUCAUACAUCCUUGAAACCAUCACCACAGGGCUGGAGAGAUGGCUGAGCGGUUAAUAGCACUGGAGAGAGGGAUCAGUGUUUAAGAGCACUGUUCUUCCAGAGGAUUCAGGUUCAAUUCCCAGCACCCACUGGGGAGCUGAAAACCAUCUGUAACUCUUGUUCCAGGGAUCCAGCACCCUCUUCUGGCUUCUGUGCACGAACUUGGUGCACAGACAUAUGUGUGUUGCCAAGACACCCCUCCCCCUACACACACAAAAUAAGAUAAUAAAAAGAACACAACAACACCAAAAAAUCACCACAACCAAGAACUUGACCCAUUUUCAAUGCUCUUCAGGAGAUUCGGGGUCUUUUCCAACACAGUCGAUUAGUUCCCAUUUUAAAAUAACUUUAAAUAAAUGGAAUCAUGAAAUACUACUAUUUUUGUCAGGUUUCCCUCUCUCCGCACGGUUAUUUUGAAAAGCAUCCACCGUGAAGUACUUGUCCAUAGUUAACGCCUUUUACAUUCUGAGUGACAUUCCCUUGUGUAGAUAAAGCUCCUAAUUCUUCACUCGCCUGUUUCUGCAGGUUUGACUUGUUUCUGGUUGUAGGCUGCUACAGAUAAAGCUGCCGUGAGUAUUUGAGAAUAGGACUUGUACAAACACAUGCUUGCACUUCCCUGAGUAAACAUCUAGGAAUAGAAUGGCUGGGUCACAUCAUGUGUGUACAUUUCACUUUUGAAGGAUAUGCCAAAAUGUUUUCCCCAGUGGUCAGUGGUCGUGAGUCUCAUCAGCUAUGUCCCUGUGCAUUUCCCUCACGUCUUCGUCAACACUCGGGAUGUAUGUGAACCUGAUGAAAAGCAACAUGAUGCAGUUUGUUUACGCACUCAUCAGGAUACAGACGGUCCUAGUUGAGGCACUUGUGAAUAAAGCUGCUAUAAAUCUUCCUACAUCA